rnacentral:rRNA from 1 species
AUGGACCUUCGAGAAAGUAUGGUACCAGAUAUGAUCCAAAGGGAUGACAGAUCAAAGUGGUUAUCACAUAGCAAUCAUAACAUAAAAUCCUUCACAGAGGAUGAGAUAAGAAGAAUUACCAGCAACUAUGAAACUAUCAUUGGAAAAGGCGGCUUCGAAGAAGUUUGCAAAGGUGUUCUCCAAGAUGGAAGAACAGUUGCAGUCAAGAGAUUUAUCCAUAAUGAAGAGGAAAAUUUUGCCAAAGAGCUGAAAGUCCACUGUGAAAUCAACCACAAGAAUGUAGUUACGCUCAUAGGCUACUGUGCCGAGGAAAAUGCCCUAAUGAUUGUCAGUGAGUACAUAUCCAAAGGGAAUCUCAGCGAUGUUCUUCAUCAUGAAUGCAUUCCCAUCACGUUGGAUACACGACUGCGGAUCGCGGUGGAGUGUUCAGAGGCACUGUGUUACAUGCAUUCACAAAUGUAUACUCAGGUCAUUCAUGGUGAUAUCAAGCCUGCCAAUAUACUAUUAGAUGACAACUUCAAUGCAAAAGUAUCCGACUUUGGAAUAUCAAGACUUGUGAACACAGACUCGACCCUUUUCACUGAUCGUGUAAUAGGGAGCAUAGGUUACACGGACCCUUUGUUUGCCCGCAGCGGGCAUCUCACCUAG